rnacentral:misc_RNA from 1 species
UCAUUUGCGGCUCUGGGGACUAGGGCCGCUAAGCCAACAGGUGUUGCACGAACCCGGAUUGCAUCACAGCUUUUAGUUCGCCUAACGGAGCAGCGACGAGGAGCUACACUGAGUAACCAAAGGAGAAAAGAGCAACAAUGGGCGGCGGCAGAGGAAGAGGCAAAAGGUCUCGAACUCAAAGAAAGCACUUCCGGGAUGGCCGAGAGAACGUUUGGAAA